rnacentral:rRNA from 1 species
GUGGGGGACAACUUUUGGAAACCAGUGCUAAUACCGCAUAGUGUCUAGGGACCAAGGGGGGCUUCGGCUCUCCCCUUUAUAUUGCCCCAUGUGGGAUUAUCUAUUUGGUGAGGUAGUGGCUCACCAGGGCCACUAUCCCUAUCUGGUUUGAGAAGAAGAUCACCCACUGUGGGACUGACACACGGCCCACACUCCUACGGGAGGCAGCAGUGGGGAAUAUUGCACAGUGGGCGCAAGCCUGAUGCACCCGUGCCGCGUGUGUGAAAAAGGCCUUCGGGUUGUAAAGCACUUUCACUCGAGAGGAAAGGUAUGUAGUUAAUACCUGCAUCCUGUGACGUUACUGACAGAAAAAGCACCGGCUAACUCCGUGCCAGCAGCCGCGGUAAUACGGAGGGUGCGAGCGUUAAUCAGAAUUACUGGGCGUAAAGCGUACGCGGGCGGUUUGUUAAGCGAGAUGUGAAAGCCCCGGGCUCAACCUGGGAACUGCUUUUCAAACUGGCAAACUAGAGUGUGAUAGAGGGUGGUAGAAUUUCAUGUGUAGCGGUGAAAUGCGUAGAGAUCUGAAGGAAUACCGAUGGCGAACGCAGCCACCUGGGUCAACACUGACGCUCAUGUACGAAAGCGUGGAGAGCAAACGAGAUUAGAUACCCUGGUACUCCACGCCGUAAACGAUGUCUACUAGAAGCUCGAAACUCGGUCUGUUUUUCAAAGCUAACGCAUUAAGUAGACCGCCUGGGGAGUACGGCCGCAAGGUUAAAACUCAUAUGAAGUGACGGGGGCCCGCACAAGCGUGGAGCAUGUGUGUUUAAUUCGAUGCAACGCGAGAACCUUACAUACACUUGACAUACAGAGAACUUACCAGAGAUGGUUUUGUGCCUUCGGGAUCUCUGAUACAGGUGCUGCAUGGCUGUCGUCAGCUCGUGUUGUGAGAUGUUGGGUAAGUCCCGCAACGAGCGCAACCCCUAUCCUUAGUUGCUAGCAGGUAAUGCUGAGAACUCUAAGGAGACUGCCGGUGAUAAACCGGAGGAAGGUGGGGACGACGUCAAGUCAUCAUGGCCCUUACGUGUAGGGCUACACACGUGCUACAAUGGCGCAUACAGAGUGCUGCGAACUCGCGAGAGUAAGCGAAUCACUUAAAGUGCGUCGUAGUCCGGAUUGGAGUCUGCAACUCGACUCCAUGAAGUCGGAAUCGCUAGUAAUCGCGUAUCAGAAUGACGCGGUGAAUACGUUCCCGGGC